AGCCCGGACGACUCUGUCUUUUUUCCUUUGAAGUGUGUUUUUUCUUUCAUCCUCACCCCUCCUCUCAGGUACUGUUCGACUAGUGACGGCGGGUCCCGUCAUUCCUCUCUGAGUGUCUUGCAGAAUUGAGGAGUGAAACCAUUAGGACCUCGGCUUUUUUUAGUUUGAGUUUCAGGCCUUCUGCCAGCAUCAAGGAGCUGUGUCAUGCUAACCUGUUGGCUUGUGAGCAGGAUAAAAUUCAAGACCCAUCACAAUACUGACAAAUCCCAAAGCAGCCAACACAUCUGUACAAGAAUGCAGACUUGAUGGCUGGAGCACAAACAGCUAACUGGGACUAUGACACAAAAAGCCACAUGUUGAGAAUCCUGGAAUACAAAUGUUCAGAGGAAUCUGUUUUCCUAAUAUCAUGCAGUGCUAUCCCAACCUGACAGUUUCUAAAAUAGAAUCCCUUAUUUUGGAUUUGGGAUAGUUUGAAGCUGAACUAUACCCUAAAAUUAGGAGAACAAAGAAUCAGAAACCUUGGUCACCGAGAAAAUACUGACACUAUGAACAUCAAUAAAGAUAUCAUAACUAGUGCAAGCCUUCAAAAAGAGAAGAUGAAUAAAUACUCCAUAAAAAUUUCUGAAGUGCUAGCAGGAUCCUGAGGAUUCUAUCACUCUUACAGAAAACUAAAUUUCCUGCUGAUAACAUGACAACUUAAGUUGGAAAGACUGCUUUUGAAGCUGUCUUCCAGAAUGCAGGAAGUGAAUCACACCUCUGCAUUCAUGAAACAAGUUGCUUUAACUUCCUAAAAGACCAGAAAAUUAAUACAGAAUGGAAGAAACUACUUCCAGGGAAAGGAAAUUUAAC